rnacentral:rRNA from 1 species
GACGAACGCUGGCGGCGCGCUUAACACAUGCAAGUCGAGCGAGAACCCACCUUCGGGUGGGGGAAAGCGGCGAACGGGUGAGUAACACGUGGGCAACCCACCCUUGGUAUCCGGAUAGCCCGGGGAAACCCGGAUUAAUACGGAAUGGCCCAACAGCUCUUCGGGGCGGUUGGAAAAGGUAGCUUCGGCCUCCGACCAAGGACGGGCCCGCGGUGGAUUAGCUUGUUGGUGAGGUAACGGCCCACCAAGGCGACGAUCCAUAGCUGGUCUGAGAGGACGAUCAGCCACACUGGGACUGAGACACGGCCCAGACUCCUACGGGAGGCAGCAGUGGGGAAUCUUGCGCAAUGGGCGAAAGCCUGACGCAGCGACGCCGCGU